rnacentral:misc_RNA from 1 species
GAUGAAGAACGCAGCGAAAUGCGAUAAGUAAUGUGAAUUGCAGAAUUCAGUGAAUCAUCGAAUCUUUGAACGCACAUUGCGCCCGCGAGUAUUCUCGCGGGCAUGCCUGUCCGAGCGUCAUUUCAACCCUCAGGCCCCCAGUGCCUGGUGUUGGGGAUCGGCCCAGCCUUCCUGUAAGGCCGCCGGCCCCGAAAUCUAGUGGCGGUCUCGCUGUAGUCCUCCUCUGCGUAGUAGCACAACCUCGCAGUUGGAACGCGGCGGUGGCCAUGCCGUUAAACACCCCACUUCUGAAAGUUGACCUCGGAUCAGGUAGGAAUACCCGCUGAACUUAAGCAUAUCAAUAAGCGGAGGA